CAAGCUGUGGUAGUUGUCAUAUCAUUAUAAACCCCUACAUGAUUAAACUUAGACCUUGAUGUGAUAAUGAAUUAUUGAUACUGAACGUUAGACAAGGCAAGCUAACAAAUGCCAUUUCCACUUGAUGACCUCUGCAUUUGAGAGAAAAAUAUUGGAAAAAUUAUGAUUUUUCUUUCAUUUUUUACUGAUAUCUGUUUUAACUCCUGGAGAAUGAAUAAAGGAGACAGUGAUACUCCUGGUGUCAGAUCCUGACAGGCGUUUACCCAACGCUGUAGUGAAGGCUUGAUAUCAGUAACUGUGUUUCUCUCCAGCAGUGUUGAGGGAGUGAAGGUUUGGUACUGAAACGAGUGGCGUGGGGGGAAGUGGAUGGGGUCAACCUUGGCCCAGGGGCUUCCUCAGGCGGGUGAGAUGAUUGAGGCUGUCCCGGUCAAUUGUCCGAAAAGGAUUUGAUAGAAGAGCGAGUCAAUGAGGAGGAGGGAUAUACUGUAAUAUACAGCCAGAGAAAAAUAUGACUGUGACAUUAGGGACUUCUACAGUUAAAUAUAUAUUGUAGCAUUUUAUAUGUAAGUUGCUGGGAAAUCUAAUGAUGGCUUUACAGCAAAAAAAACACACUUGGUCUUUCUUUUAGAUUUUGGAGAUUUUAGAGAUUUUGGUGAUCAUGAAUAGUCAAGUAUGAAAGACAAAUAAAAGAAAAAUCCUCAUUUAGAUAAAAAAAAGUCUUGUUUCAGCAGGAAUUACAUAUGUUUCUUCCCCAACCUUAGGCUGUAUACACUAUAUAUUAUACAGUAAUCUUCAUACUAUACAAUAGUAUACAAGAAACUGCUUAUUCAGAAUUAAUAAAACAAACAGAAACACAA